rnacentral:rRNA from 1 species
GAUGAACGCUGGCGGCGUGCUUAACACAUGCAAGUCGAACGGGAAUUAUUUUAUUGCAACUUCGGUCGAUUUAAUUUAAUUCUAGUGGCGGACGGGUGAGUAACGCGUGGGUAACCUGCCUUAUACAGGGGGAUAACAGUCAGAAAUGGCUGCUAAUACCGCAUAAGCGCACAGAGCUGCAUGGCUCAGUGUGAAAAACUCCGGUGGUAUAAGAUGGACCCGCGUUGGAUUAGCUGGUUGGUGGGGUAACGGCCCACCAAGGCGACGAUCCAUAGCCGGCCUGAGAGAGUGAACUGCCACAUUGGGACUGAGACACGGCCCAGACUCCUACGGGAGGCAGCAGUGGGGAAUAUUGCACAAUGGGGGAAACCCUGAUGCAGCGACGCCGCGUGAAGGAAGAAGUAGCUCGGUAUGUAAACUUCUAUCAGCAGGGAAGAUAGUGACGGUACCUGACUAAGAAGCCCCGGCUAACUACGUG